CGCUCUAUCUGCAGUCGAGCGAACUGAUUAAAAGCUUGGUUUUAUGACUUUUGCGGGGGACGGGUGAGUAACACGUGGGCGACCUGUCUGUUCGACUGGGAUAACUUCGGGAAACCGAAGCUAAUACCGGAUAGGAUCUUCUCCUUCAUGGGAGAUGAUUGAAAGAUGGUUUCGGCUAUCACUUAUGGAUGGGGCCGCGGUGCAUUAUCUAUUUGGUGAGGUAACGGCUCUCCAAGGCAACAAUACAUAUCCGACAUGAGAGGGUGAUCGGCCACACUGUGACUGAGACACGGCCCACACUCCUACGGGAGGCGGCAGUAGGGAAUCUUCCCCAAUGUGCGAAAGUCUGACAGAGCACCGCCCCGUGAGUGAUGAAAGCUUUCUGGUAUCAAAACUCUGUUGUUAGGGAAAAAAACGUUCGAGAGAAACUGCUCUCACCUUGACAGUACCUAACCAAAAAGCCCCGGCUAACUACAUGCCACCGCCCCCGGUAAUACAUAUGUGGCGAGCGUUAUCCCCAAUUAUUGUGCGUAAAGCGCGCGCACGCGGUUUCUUAAGUCUGAUGUGAAAGCCCACGGCUCUCCCCCGGAGAGCCAUUGGAAACUGGGGAACUUGAGUGCCAAAAAAAGAAACGGAAUUCCACCUGUAACGGUGAAAUGCGUAAAGAUGUGGAGGAACACCAGUGGCGAAAGGGGAUUUUUGGUCUGUAACUGACCCUGAGGCGCGAAAGCGUGGGGAGCAAACAGGAUUAGAUACCCUGGUAGUCCCACCCUAAACCAUGAGUGCUAAGUGUUAGAGGGUUUCCGCACUUUUGUGCUGCAACUAAACAUUUAGCACUCCCCCCUGGGGGAGUACCGUCGCGAGACUGAAACUCAAAGGAAAUGACCGGGGCCCCCCAAGCCGUGAGCAUGUGGGUUUAAUUCCAGACACCCGGAAAAACUUUACAGGUCUUUGACAUUCUCUUGACAAC
rnacentral:rRNA from 2 species